UACGUAGGGUGCGAGCGUUAAUCGGAUUUACUGGGCGUAAAGAGCGCGCAGGCGGUCGUUCAAGUCGAGUGUGAAAGCCCCCGGCUCAACUGGGGAGGGUCACUCGAUACUGAUCGACUCGAAGGCAGAAGAGGGAAGCGGAAUUCCCGGUGUAGUGGUGAAAUGCGUAGAUAUCGGGAGGAACACCAGUGGCGAAGGCGGCUUUCUGGUCUGCUCUUGACGCUGAGGAGCGAAAGCGUGGGGAGCGAACAGG
rnacentral:rRNA from 1 species